rnacentral:sRNA from 1 species
GCGAGGUCUCACUUUGUCACCCACGCUGGAGUGCAGUGGUGCUAUCUCAGCUCACUGCAACCUUGACUUCUUGGGCUUGAUUGAUCCCCUCACCGCAGCCCCCCAAGUAGCUGGGACUACAGGCUCGAAAGGACACAGAAGCGGGAGAAACAUUUUCAUCUGUCCAAGCCAAUCUAAGUAAAGCAGAAAAACAUAAAUAUCUUCAUAAAGUAAAAACAGCACAAGUUUCAGAUGAAAGAAAGAGCUACAGUCCUAGGAAGCAAAGUAAAUAUGAAAGUUCAAAAGAAUCUCAGCAACAUUCCAAGUCAUCAGCUGACAAAAUAGGAGAAGUCUCUUCUCCCAAGGCCAGUUCUAAGCUGGCAAUUAUGAAAAGAAAAGAAGAGAGCUCUUAUAAAGAAAUAGAGCCUGUGGCCUCAAAAAGAAAAGAAAAUGCCAUUAAAUUGAAAGGAGAGACAAAAACUCCUAAGAAAACCAAAAGUUCUCCAGCUAAAAAAGAGUCUGUAAGUCCUGAAGAUUCUGAAAAGAAACGCACUAAUU